rnacentral:rRNA from 1 species
UACGUAGGCAGCGAGCGUUGUUCGGAAUUACUGGGCGUAAAGAGUGUGUAGGCGGUGCUCCCAGUCUGUUGUGAAAUCUCCCGGCUUAACUGGGAGGGUGCAGCGGAAACUAGAGUGCUAGAGGGUGGGAGAGGUAAGCGGAAUUCCUGGUGUAGCGGUGAAAUGCGUAGAUAUCAGGAGGAACACCUGUGGUGUAGACAGCUUACUGGACCACUUCUGACGCUAAGACACGAAAGCGUGGGUAGCAAACAGG